GACAGAGGUCCCGAGCGUUAGGCGGAAUCACUGGGCUUAAAGCGUGUGUAGGUGGAUGUCUAAGUACCUUGUGAAAUCCCACGGCUUAACCGUGGAAUUGCUUGGUAUACUGGAUGUCUUGAGGACGGUAGAGGUCGGUGGAAUUCCCGGUGUACCGGUGAAAUGGGCAGAUAUCGGGAGGAACACCAGUGGCGAAGGCGGCCGACUGGGCCGAUACUGACGCUGAGGUGCGAAAGCGUGGGGAGCAAACAGG
rnacentral:rRNA from 1 species